CUUGAACAAGGUCGUUUUGCCGUGCUGCAAAGUCCAACAAGAUUAUCAGCAAAAGCCUUAUCUGAAAUCCUCCCGUGUCAAACAGAAUAUUUCCACUGGCUGGAUGUAAUAGUGAAUGCAGAUCUGGGAUCUAGUCUCAAUCCAAAUCAGAGUGCAGCAAUCAACCACUCAACUCCAGAACUCUCCCUGGUGACACUCACGGGAUUUCAAACUGCAACCUCACAUUGGAAAUUUCUGCAUCCAAUUACCACUUAUCAGAGGCCACCAAUCUCUUAAACUUUAAUGGUUAAAGAAAACUCAAGUGCUUGGUUUACAAAGGCAAUAAACACCUUAAUGCUUUCAUCUUUGUUUUCUCUAGGAAAUUAUUUAAGAAGAAAACCCUUGAACAGUGAUCUCAGCAUUCAUACAGGAGUGAACUUCAGAUACAGUAAUUGCAUAGCUGUGAGCUAUGACGACUUUCCCAUGGGGGAGAAAUGACCUGGUAAUUCAAGAAUGACAAAGUCAAAAGUAAGGGGAUUUUGGAUCAAAUUUAGUGCCAAUGAAGCAUCAAAUUGACUGCACAGAACCAACUGUGGUGGUGGUGAGCUGUCCAAAGGUGCUGAAGGAGCUGACUUGUGUCACCAGGGAACUGCUCCCCAUCAGUGUCCAGAGCUGGAAGUCUGGAGACUGGAAGAGUCAAGUCUUAAAAGGUACAAAUAAAGAUGCAGAAACUUGAGAUCAUUCAGUCACCUCAUUCAGGACCACUCUUGCCAAAGUACUGCACAAAAUAAACUUUAGGCAAGCAACUCUUGCUUGCAGUUGGGAACAAUCCACAUUAUACAAGUACAGUGACAAAGGGUCAGCGUAACUCCACAUCUCUGCUGGCUUCAGAACACACUGACAUCAGCUGUGACACAACCUGGGACUCUCCACAAGAGCUAAAACACUCAUUUCUCUUAGACAAUCUGGAAUAAAGCAGUAGUUUCAAAGUGUAAAACUUCCUCGAAGCCCCGCAUACAAACACCAUCUGCUCUUUUGUGAAAGGUAUAGCAUUUGAAAUAACAUUCUUCUCUCUCCCUCUUAGUACAUUCCAUCAAGAAGAGAAAACUUUAUUUAUAUAAAGAGCCUGCAAAAUGAAGUUCCAUAAAAACAGGAACAUAUGGCCAAAUAAUUCUGAAUAGCACUUAGCAUAUUCAUCCGUAAAAUAAGAACCAUAAUGGGUAGAUAAAUACACCCAGGUCUACUUGGAAAUUGUCAGUAUACACACGGUUUUCUGCAAAUAAUUAAUUUUUUAAAAAAAAUUCUCACCCAUCACUCUACACAGAUACUUCACAUUACAGUUUUACUAAAGUUAACCUUUUUAAACCACAAACUUGGCCCAUGAUACCUUGUAUCACACAUAUUAACACCCUAAGUGCAUAAAGAAAGAAAGAAAAAAAUCUUAUCUUUUAUGAAAGUUAAUUUUUUACCACCAUUGCAAAGAUAAAGCUUGAAACAAAUUUAGGUAAUCUCUAACAUGAAUGGAAAUAUAAAGCAGA